rnacentral:rRNA from 1 species
CCUACGGGGGACAGCAGUGAGGAAUAUUGGUCAAUGGGCGAGAGCCUGAACCAGCCAAGUCGCGUGAAGGAUGACGGCCCUACGGGUUGUCAACUUCUUUUGUCAGGGAGCAAUUGGGUCCACGCGUGGGCUUAGCGAGAGUACCUGCAGAAAAAGCAUCGGCUAACUCCGUGUCAGCAGACGCGGUAAUACGGAGGAUGCGAGCGUUAUCCGGAUUUAUUGGGUUUAAAGGGUGCGUAGGCGGAAUAUCAAGUCAGCGGUAAAAAUUCGGGGCUCAACCCCGUCGUGCCGUUGAAACUGAUGUUCUUGAGUGGGCGAGAAGUAUGCGGAAUGCGUGGUGUAGCGGUGAAAUGCAUAGAUAUCACGCAGAACUCCGAUUGCGAAGGCAGCAUACCGGCGCCCAACUGACGCUGAAGCACGAAAGCGUGGGUAUCGAACAGGAUUAGAUACCCUGGUAGUC